AUUGAACGCUGGCGGCAUGCCUUACACAUGCAAGUCGAGCGGUAAAAGGCAGUUGGCUCCUGGAGUCUGGGGCAGGCGGGUGUGUUAUGUCUAGGAGUGUCCAGGGUAGGGGGGGAUAACAGCGAAAGAUGUGCUCUAAUAGCGCGUACGUUGUGGGUGAGAAAGGGGGGGAACGUAGGAAUGUUUGCUAUCGGAUGAUCGGAGCGCGGUAUGUCUGAUUAGUUAGUUGGUGGGGUAAAGGCCUACCAAGCCGACGAUCUGUAGCUGGUCUGAGAGGACGACCAGCCACACUGGAACUGAGACACGGCCCAGACUCCUACGGGAGGCAGCAGUGGGGAAUAUUGGACAAUGGGCGCAAGCCUGAUCCAGCAAUGCCGCGUGUGUGAAGAAGGCCUUCGGAUUGUAAAGCACUUUAAGUCGGGACGAAGAGGAGUUAGCUAAUACCUGGCUCUUUUGACGUUACCAAAAGAAUAAGCACCGGCUAACUUCGUG
rnacentral:rRNA from 1 species